rnacentral:rRNA from 1 species
UACGUAGGGUGCGAGCGUUGUCCGGAAUUAUUGGGCGUAAAGAGCUCGUAGGCGGCCUGUCGCGUCGGAUGUGAAAGCCCGGGGCUUAACCCCGGGUCUGCAUUCGAUACGGGCAGGCUAGAGUGUGGUAGGGGAGAUCGGAAUUCCUGGUGUAGCGGUGAAAUGCGCAGAUAUCAGGAGGAACACCGGUGGCGAAGGCGGAUCUCUGGGACGGUACUGACGCUGAGACGCGAAAGCGUGGGGAGCGAACAGG